GAUGAAGAACGCAGCGAAAUGCGAUAAGUAAUGUGAAUUGCAGAAUUCAGUGAAUCAUCGAAUCUUUGAACGCACCUUGCGCCCUUUGGCCAUUCCGAAGGGCAUGCCUGUUUGAGUAUCAUGAACACCUCAACUCUCAUGGUUUGCCAUGAUGAGCUUGGACUUUGGGGGUCUUGCCGGCCUAUGGGUCGGCUCCUCUCAAAUUAAUCAGCUUGCCAGUGUUUGGUGGCAUCACAGGUGUGAUAACUAUCUACGCUUGUGGUUUUCCAUCAGGUAACCUUCAGUGAUGGAGGUUCGCUGGGGCUCAUAAAUGUCUCUCCUCAGUGAGGACAGCUUUUUUGAACGUUUGAUCUCAAAUCAGGUAGGACUACCCGCUGAACUUAAGCAUAUCAAUAAGCGGAGGA
rnacentral:misc_RNA from 1 species